rnacentral:tRNA from 1 species
GGUUGCUUAGUGUAGUGGUUACCACAUUGGAUUUUGAUUCCAAUAACCUGGGUUCGAUCCCCAGAGCAACCU